rnacentral:rRNA from 1 species
CCUACGGGAGGCAGCAGUGAGGAAUAUUGGUCAAUGGACGAGAGUCUGAACCAGCCAAGUAGCGUGAAGGAUGACUGCCCUAUGGAUUGUAAACCUCUUUUAUAUGGGAAUAAAAUGUUCCACGUGUGGGAUUUUGUAUGUACCAUAUGAAUAAGGAUCGGCUAACUCCGUGCCAGCAGCCGCGGUAAUACGGAGGAUCCGAGCGUUAUCCGGAUUUAUUGGGGUUAAAGGGAGCGUAGGUAGAUUGUUAAGUCCGUUGUGAAAGUUUGGGGCUCAACCGUAAAAUUGCAGUUGAAACUGGCAGUCUUGAGUACAGUAGAGGUGGGCGGAAUUCGUGGUGUAGCGGUGAAAUGCUUAGAUAUCACGAAGAACUCCGAUUGCGAAGGCAGUUCACUGGACUGCAACUGACACUGAGGCUCGAAAGUGUGGGUAUCAAACAGGAUUAGAUACCCCGGUAGUC